rnacentral:rRNA from 1 species
UCCGUAGGGUGCGAGCGUUGUCCGGAAUUAUUGGGCGUAAAGAGCUUGUAGGCGGUUUGUCGCGUCUGCUGUGAAAAUCCGGGGCUCAACCCCGGACUUGCAGUGGGUACGGGCAGACUAGAGUGUGGUAGGGGAGACUGGAAUUCCUGGUGUAGCGGUGGAAUGCGCAGAUAUCAGGAGGAACACCGAUGGCGAAGGCAGGUCUCUGGGCCACUACUGACGCUGAGAAGCGAAAGCAUGGGGAGCGAACAGG